GAUUUCUGGCAGCACUUGCGUCAGUAAUUCAUUCCAAUAAAAUGGUCCCUUUAUCAACUGAAUCCCCAAACAAAGUCUGUACUAACAAAAAGCCCUUUUCAUGAAAAGAAGAAGGAGGGGGGAGAACUUUGGAAAACAGUUUUCAAAUGUCCUCUAACUUGUGACUGACACAAGAAGUGGUCCCAUCUGGUCCUGGCCAGCUGUGGCUCUCCGACCAAUGCACCAGGUAUUCAGAGUACUGUCUACCCCUGGGGGGUGGGGGUGGGGAGAUGGACAGCAGAGCCACAGACCACUGCCUUUCAAGACUGGUUUAGCCUGAGAUGACAGCCAUACCUCCAACACCAGAGGAAUAAUAAACUCCUUGGUUCACAAGUCUCAAAACUCGGAAGGAGAACAUCUUCAACCUUCCGCCUCUGGAGAUACAACAUAAAUUGUCCCAGGCCUGCUGGCUCUUUAUCUGGCUUUGGCUGUGGUGGAAACAGCUGGUCACCAUCCAGAGGACAAUCCUGCAUCCUUCAUUUUCUUGAAGAUGGUGAUUAAAUCACUCAUCAUCUCUUCGCCAGGAUGUUGUGAAGAUUAUGUCAGCACAGUGCCCAGAGCUCCCUGGAGAUAAACGAUCCACUCUCUGCCGUCCACCCUGCUCUGCGGAGGCUGCCUAGUGUGAACUCUGCCAUGGGGCUCCCAUGGCCAUCGUGGGUCCGGCAGGAGACCAACCACACAGGAGGCAGGAGAAGGGAGGAGCCUGGGGAUGUUAACUCAAACCCUGCCAAGCAGGAGUGGCACAAAGCAGGAUCUAAGGACACCUGGACUAAGAACGAUGGGACGACUCUAACAAGAGGAUGUUUAAUACAAGGUUCAGGCGAAGACGUGGUGACUACAACAUUAGGUGCAGUUUUGAUUAUUGUCAACUCACUAUGAAUCAAGAGGUGACAAAAUGCACACCCCCCCCCCCAAAUAAAAUUCCAGCCUUCUAAAGCCCCAGGUAGAGGAAUGCAUUCUGUUCCUUUGUGGUCAGACCGCUCCUGGAGUACUGUUUUCAGCUUUAGGUGAUACGUGAAAAACCAGCUGCAGUUGUUAAUGUGUCUAUUUUAAUAUCAGCCCAUCUCUUAGGUUCGGUCGGGGAUGAAUACAUGCUAUGAAAUUAGGUAAUUGCUUAGUAGACAUGGGGCUGAUUCUUUUAAAAAAAUAUUUUAUUUAUUUAUUCAUGAGAGACACAAGAGAGGCAGAGACAGAGGCAGAGAGAAGCAGGCUCUAUGCAGGGAGCCGGAUGUGGGACUCGAUCCCGGGAUCCUGGGAUCAUGCCCUGGGCCAAAGGCAGAUGCUCAACCGCUGAGCUACCCAGGCGUCCCCAUGAUUCUAAAAUAACCUUUUCCUUCCAAUUUUCAAGAAAUUGUUUUUGAACCAAACUCUCACUUCUAUUAAAUUCUUUCCCAGGAAUCUUCUGGAAUUUUUAUACAAAGAGACGUAAUAAUUUACCCCACUGAAGAUUAAUAGACCUUAAUCAAACCCAGACCUAUGUACACAUUUUAGUUGCAAGCCAAGCACAUGUGGAAGAGCUAUCUAAUCAAUAAAUUUGAUCAGAAAUAAUUUCUCAUAGGCCUAGUUUUAUAUGUAUGGUGAAAUUCAAAUUGAGGUCAAAGAAUGUCAGAAUGUUCAUGCAAGAAGUGGUUUUGAUAUCAUUUACCCAAACCUCUACUGUUGUACGUAGGGAGACUGAGAUCCUGGUUUUCAUCUGACUUCUGAUAAUAACCCCGAGUCUAUUACCUGUGCUCCACUGCCUUCCUGAUGAAAUCAUGCUUCUAAAAGUUGAUGAGUUUGGACCAACUUGGAAUGUACUUAGGGGGUCUUAUUUUCUCAGUGUUUAUUUGGUGUCUACAUUGUGAUAAGGCAUUGUGUAUCACAUACCCCAGGCAUUUGUCUGCUGCAUUCAAAACUAAAAAUGUAUAUAUAUAUAUAUAUAGUACUUACGAUGUUUUACUGAGACUUUAAAAAAAAAUUUUCCUGAUUUUUCAUCUUAUCCAUUCAUUACACUAACAUUUACUGAGAAUCUAUUAGGUUGUGUUCCAAGGGGGUAAGUGAGAAAAACAAACAAACAAAAAAAAAGGCUUUGCCUUCAUAGAACUUACCUUGUAAUUUUUCUUUUUAUAUUUGGAGUGGAUUUCAAGGGAACUGAAAGAAUUCUUGCGUUACUUCCUGAGAUAGCUGGCCUCUGAGACAGCCUCCAAUGAUCCUUGCCUCCCGGUGAUCAUACCCUGAUAAUGCCCUCCGUGUAUGCGUACUGGGACACCGUGGAGUGACAGUGCGUGCCUUUGAGUUUCAGUCAUGAUAAAUAUUGCAGCUUCUGUCUUUGCCUCUCUUGGCUCACUUACUCAGGGGAAAGGACCCCAAACAGCUUUGUGGAGAGGCCACGCAUAGGGCAGAAUGGAGACCUCCUGUCAACAGCAACACCAAUUUUGCAUCCGUAUGAGUGAGUCUUGGAAGUGAAUCUUUGGCUGUGUCUUGGAGGUGGUCCUUUAACCUCGGACAGGUCUUCAGAUGGCUGCAACCCUGGCUAACAUCUUAACUGCAACUCCCUGGAGGACCUCGAUUCAAGACUUCCAGCUAUGCUGCUUCAGAAUUUAUGGCUCACAAAAAUUGUGGGAAAUUUGAAUGUUUAUUGUUCUUUUACACCACUAAGUAUUGGGGUCAUUUGUUACGCAGCAAUAGGGAACCAGAACACCUCCUGUGUUUUAGGAAGUCUUCCUAGAGAAGAAGGAUCUGAGAAACACUUGCAUGUCAUAGAGUGGGAAGGAAGCAGUAUUUUUCCACACUUCUGGGUCACAAGAGAACCAACUCUGAGUGUGAAAUGCACAUACAAGCAUAGGCCAUUUCAAAUCCAUGGUUUCUAAGAGAGUAUUCAGUGCUUUUGAUGCUGUACGAAAUUUGGGGUUUCAAAAUGUGAUUGGGGGGCCGCCUGGGUGGCUCAGUCAGUUAAGUGUCUGCCCUCAGCUCGGGUCAUGAUCUCAGGAUACUGAGAUGGAGCCCUGCAUUGGACCCCCUGCUCAGCGGGGACUCUGCUGCUCCCCCUACUUGCGCUCUCUCCUUCUCUUGCUCUGUCAAAUAAAUAAAUAAAUAAAAUCGUUUUAAAAAAUGUGAUUGGAAAGAAUAUAAAGGAGGUACACCUUUAUUACGUGGGAGAGAGGCA